rnacentral:rRNA from 1 species
UUCCGGUUGAUCCUGCCGGACCCGACUGCUAUAUGGGUGAGAAUAAGCCAUGCGAGUUGAAUGGAAUACCUAAAUUUUCCAUGGCAAACUGCUCAGUAACACAUGAUCAACUUACCCUAUAGAGAAAAAUAACCUCGGGAAACUGAGGAUAAUGUUUCAUAGUUGAAAAGGCUUGGAAAAGUUUUUCAACAAAAGGGAUAAGAAAAAUGGUUUUUAUCCGCUAUAGGAUAGGAUCGUGCUCGAUUAUGGUUGUUGGUGAGGUAAUGGCUCACCAAGCCGAUAAUCGAUAGGGGCCGUAAGAGCGGGAGCCCCGAGAUGGGUACUGAGACAACGACCCUGGCCUUACGAGGCGCAGCAGGCGCGAAACCUCCGCAAUACACGAAAGUGUGACGGGGUUACCCAAAGUGUUCAAUCUUGAACUGUGGUAGGUGAGUAAUGUUCCCUACUAGAAAGGAGAGGGCAAGGCUGGUGCCAGCCGCCGCGGUAAAACCAGCUCUUCAAGUGGUCGGGAUAAUUAUUGGGCUUAAAGUGUCCGUAGCCGGUUUAGUAAGUUCCUGGUAAAAUCGGGUAGCUUAACUAUCUGUAUGCUAGGAAUACUGCUAUACUAGAGGGCGGGAGAGGUUUGAGGUACUACAGGGGUAGGGGUGAAAUCUUACAAUCCUUGUCGGACCACCAGUGGCGAAGGCGUCAGACUGGAACGCGCCUGACGGUGAGGGACGAAAGCCAGGGGAGCGAACCGGAUUAGAUACCCGGGUAGUCCUGGCCGUAAACGAUGCAUACUAGGUGAUGGUACGGCCAUGAGCCGUAUCAGUGCCGUAGGGAAACCGUUAAGUGUGCCGCCUGGGAAGUACGGUCGCAAGGCUAAAACUUAAAGGAAUUGGCGGGGGAGCAC